UAACCAAGAGAAAAAUGAAAACAUACAUUUAUACUCAAACUUGUACAGGAAUAUUUAUAGCAGCAUUAUUCAUGUAUUAGUCCAUUUUGCAUUGCUAUAGAAGAAUAUCUGAGAUGGUAAUUUAUAAAGAAGUUUAUUUGGCUCACAGUUCUGCAGGCUGUACAAGCAUGGUACUGACAUCUGCUUGGCUCCUGGGAAGGCCUUAGGAAGCUUUUACUCAUGACAGAAGGUGAACAAGGAGCAGGCAUGUCACAUGACGAGAGAGGGCAGAACAGAUAGGGCAGGAGUUCCCAACAACCAGCUUUCAAGUGAACUAAUAUAGAGCAAGAACUCACUCAUUACAAGGAUGGCACCAAGCCAUUUAUGACAGAUGUUCCUAUGAUCCAAACACUUCCUAACAGGCCCCAUUCUCCAACACUGGUGAUCCUAUUUCAUGAGAUUUGGAGGGGACAAAAUAUCCAAACUGUAUCAGUUCAUAUUAUCCAGAAGGUGGAAACAAUCCACAUGUCCAUCAAUGGAUGAAUGGAUAAACAAAAUGUGGCACAAACUAUAAUGGAAUAUUAUUCAGCCAAAUAAAGGAAUGAAUACUCAUACAUGCGACAUGAAUGAAACAUGAAAACAAUAUGCUAAGUAAAUGAAGCCAGUCACAAAACACCAAAAUAUCACAUCAGUAUAUGAGGCUUAGAAAAUGUGCAAAUUGUGGUGAUGGUUGCAUGUAUCUGCAAAGAGACUAAAAACCACUGAAUUAUACAUUUUUGUUUUCGAGAUGGGGUCUCACUCUGUCGCCCAGGCUGGACUGCAGUGGUGCUAUCAUGGUUCACUGCAGGCUUGACUUCCCAGGCUUAAGUGAUCCUCCUACCUCAGCCUCCUGGGUUGCUGGGACGACAGGUGCGUGCCACUGCGGCUAAUUCUUGUAUUUUAAAAAAUAGAGACAGGGUUUUGCCUGUUGCCCAGGGUGGUCUUGAACUCCUGGGCUCAAGAUCUGAGGGCCUUGGCCUCCCAAACUGCUGGGAUUACAGACGUGAGCCACCACACCUGGCCUAAUUAUACAUUUUAAAUGGGUGAAGUGUAUGGCAUGUGAAUUAUAUUUUAAUGAAGUGGUCAUAAAUAACAAAAUAAAAAGCAUAUUGAUUUGAAAGGAUAAAUACAUUCCUGUUUUCAGGACAUAAAUAUCUACAUAGGAAAUCCAAAGGAAUUUUAAAAAUGCAUAAAGUUUAGCAAGAUCACAUAAAAAUCAAUCCCAUUUCUAUAUGCUAACAAUCAAUGUGUGAAUGCCAAAAUUAAGCACUACACCACUUACAAUUGCUCCAAAAUCAUGACUUAGGGGUGUGUGUGUAUAUACGUGUAUAUAUACAUAUAUACACACAUAUAUACUUAUAUACACAUGUACAUAUAUAUACACACACACACACACACAUAUAUAUUUUUUGAGACAGAGUCUUGCUCUGUUACCCAGGCUGGAGUGCAGUGGCACAAUCUUAACUCACUGCAGCCUCCACCUCCCGGGUUCAAGUGAUUCACCUGCCUCAGCCUCCUGAGUAGCUGGGAUUACAGGUGCCUGUCAUCAUGCCCGACUAAUUUUUAUAUUUUUAGUAGAGACAGGGUUUCACAAUGUUGGCCAGGUUGGUCUUGAAUUCCUGGCCUCAGGCGAUUCGCCCGCCCCAGCCUCCCUAAGUGCUGGGAUUACAGGCGUGAUCCCACCACACCUGGCCGACUUAGGUAAUAUAAAACAAAAACUACAGGCUGGGUGUGCCUGAUGGUGCCCAGUGAAGCCAGCACAAACUACCCCAAUGCUUGGGUGAGUGGCCAAGCAUCAGAGCAGUGACUAGACUUUUUCUUUUUGGGGAAACAGCCUAGGGUUGGGAGCCUACAGUGCUGAGGGCUGUGGGCCUCUCCAUCUCAGCUCCACCCCACUGUCCUACUCUCUGUUCUGUAUGGCUGGAGGCAACCCAGUUCCCUGACUGCUAUUUAGUCAGGUUCUGCCAAUAGGUGUCUCUAAGGAGAGGCUGGAAGGUAGAAAGCUUGUUGCCUCCCAGCACCUGGUAAUCCCCGCAGCAGCAGGGAGAAAGCCUCCCAGGAUGGCUGUGGUUCAGUAGCCACAGCUCCAUCAGAACCCCCAGCCAUGCACUGAAUCUCCAAUCAGCUUCCCUGGGAAGCUCCUCUGCUCUGGAGGUUCAGAAUUCUAGGACUCCACCUGCCUGCUGGGGCUGAUACAGACCCCUACGCAAGAGGCCGGCAUAUGUGAAUAAGCACUCAUGGAGGGAAGAAGCUGGGAGAGACAGGCAGGUAACAACCCAGGUCUGUCCCUAAAGCAGCCCUCUUGGGCUGGGCGUGGCGGGGGAGUGCACAGGGCAGACUGGAGAACCACGCCCUGCUCAACAAAGCAGACAGACAAGUGCUGACAGUGCAGAGGGUGACCAAGCCUGGGAAGGCCCCAGGGGUCCAACACCAAAAUUAAAGGUUUAUUAUACAC
rnacentral:lncRNA from 1 species